UACGAAGGGUGCAAGCGUUAAUCGGAAUUACUGGGCGUAAAGGGUGCGUAGGCGGUUGUUUAAGUCUGUCGUGAAAUCCCCGGGCUCAACCUGGGAAUGGCGAUGGAUACUGGGCAGCUAGAGUGUGUCAGAGGAUGGUGGAAUUCCCGGUGUAGCGGUGAAAUGCGUAGAGAUCGGGAGGGACAUCAGUGGCGAAGGCGGCCAUCUGGGACAACACUGACGCUGAAGCACGAAAGCGUGGGGAGCAAACAGG
rnacentral:rRNA from 1 species